rnacentral:rRNA from 1 species
GACGAACGCUGGCGGCGCGCUUAACACAUGCAAGUCGAACGGAAAGGCCUGCUUUCCCUUGUGGAUUGCGGGUACUCGAGUGGCGAACGGGUGAGUAACACGUGAGUGAUCUGCCCCCAACUUGGGUAUAAGCCUGGGAAACUGGGUCUAAUUCCCGAUAGGACUGCAGGGUGGUGCCUGUGGUGGAAAACGAUUUUCUAGUGGUUGUGGAUGAGCUCGCGGCCUAUCAGCUUGUUGGUGGGGUAAUGGCCUACCAAGGCGGCGACGGGUAGCCGGCCUGGGAGGGUGGACGGCCACAUUGGGACUGAGAUACGGCCCAGACUCCUACGGGAGGCAGCAGUGGGGAAUAUUGCACAAUGGGCGGAAGCCUGAUGCAGCGACGCCGCGUGGGGGAUGACGGCCUUCGGGUUGUAAACUCCUUUCGACCGCGAGGAAGCCACCUGGUUGGAAGGGUGGUGACGGUAGUGGUAGAAGAAGCACCGGCUAACUACGUG